GAGUUUGAUCGUGGCUCAGAGCGAACGCUGGCGACAGGCUUAACACAUGCAAGUCGAGCGGGCCCUUCGGGGUCAGCGGCGGACGGGUGAGUAACGCGUGGGAACGUGCCUUCUGGUUCGGAAUAACCCUGGGAAACUAGGGCUAAUACCGGGAUACGCCCUUUUGGGGAAAGGUUUACUGCCGGAAGAUCGGCCCGCGUCUGAUUAGCUAGUUGGUGGGGUAAUGGCCUACCAAGGCGACGAUCAGUAGCUGGUCUGAGAGGAUGAUCAGCCACACUGGGACUGAGACACGGCCCAGACUCCUACGGGAGGCAGCAGUGGGGAAUAUUGGACAAUGGGCGCAAGCCUGAUCCAGCCAUGCCGCGUGAGUGAUGAAGGCCUAGGGUUGUAAAGCUCUUUUAUCCGGGACGAUAAUGACGGUACCGGAGGAAUAAGCCCCGGCUAACUUCGUGCCAGCCGCCGCAGUAAC
rnacentral:rRNA from 1 species